CCUUUCCGCUCGCUGGGUCGCUUUUUGGCUCCAGAGCCCUUGCCUUCUUCCCUCUCACAGAACCAGUCCAAAACCCUAAACCUCAGUCUCUUCUCUCCUCCUCUCUAAUGGACAAGAAGCCGAGUUCUUGGAUUUCUCACAUUGAAGCCUUCGUCGAUUCCUCGCGCCCUCCCAAACAGCAGGCUGCAAAUGUUGAUGCUAUUGCUGCAUUGGUGAAGAAUGACCUCUUAACUCUCGAGGCAUUGGUAAGAGAUAUGGAACUGUAUCUAACCACCUCGGAUCAUUCUAUUCGUGCGAGAGGUAUCCUUCUCUUAGCAGAAAUUCUUAACUGUCUCAUGUCAAAACCAUUAGAUGGUGCCAGUAUAAGUAGCUUGGUAGAGUUCUUUACGUCAAAGCUGGCAGAUUGGCAAGUCUUACGUGGAGCACUUAUCGGUUGCUUGGCUCUUCUGAGAAGGAAGAAAAAUGUUGGUAUGGUCAAAAGUAGUGAAGCAAGGGCAGUUGCUGAGUCUUAUUUAAUGAACGUACAAGUACAGUCGCUAGCAGUUCAUGAUCGUAAGUUAUGCUUUGAAGUUCUUCAGUGCCUAUUGGAGGUCUACCCAGAAGCUGUUGAGAUGCUGGGUGAUGACCUUGUUUAUGGAAUAUGUGAAGCAAUUGAUGAAGAAAAGGAUCCUCGAUGCUUGAUGCUAACUUUUCAUCUAGUGGAAAUCCUGGCACGAGUAUUUCCUGAUUCAUCUGGUUCAGUUGCAAGUUUUGCAGGGGAUCUUUUUGAUAUUUUAAGUAGAUAUUUUCCUAUAUAUUUUACACAUCCAAGAAGUGAUGAUUUAGACAUUACAAGGGAAGAGCUUUCUAUGGCACUUAUGCAUGCCUUCUGUUCAACUCCAUUUUUUGAGCCAUUUGCGAUCCCACUGCUGCUUGAGAAACUUUCCUCUUCUCUUCCAUUAGCUAAGCUUGAUUCUUUGAAGUAUCUUAACAAUUGCAUACAGCACUAUGGAACUGAUAGAAUGAUCAAGCAUGCUAAAGCUAUUUGGUCUAAUUUAAAAGAUGUGAUCUUGAACCAUUCACCACACAAAACUCUAUUUUCGACUUCAGAGUUGGCUGGAAAUAUGGAAUCUGAGGAAAAUCAGAUUGCAAAAGAAGCUCUAAUUUGUCUGCAAACAGCUAUUUUGCAUUUAGACUCUUUAGAGAAAAAUCCUAUUCUGAGUUUUAUUGUUGAAGAUGAAGAUAUUGAGAUGAAGUUUGGGCUUGUUAGCAAUGAAGGAACUGGUACAGGCAUAUCCAUUGAAAGUCGACGCCAUCUGAGUGCUGUUGGAAAUAUCUUAUCAGUCUCAUCAAAAGCCUCCAUGUCUGGCUGCACAAGGGUAUUUCAAAAAUUUUUUCCUCGCUUGAUGAAUAUUUUGGAAAUUUCUGCAAGCAGCUCAUCUAAUGGUUGCAAUACAAACAAUGGAACUAGUAGCUUGAAUUUUGGAGCGCUUUAUCUCUGCAUUCAACUCCUUGCUUCAUUUAGGGAAUUGAUAUUGACUUCUCAAGACUUCUCACCUCAAGUUAUUACAGUGCAAGAUGGCUGGUGGUGCAUGCUCCAACAUUUCUCUGGUCCAUUAGCUCAUGCUCUUGGAUCAGCUUUGAUGGGAGCUAGGAGCUCUGAACUUGUGAAUAACAACACUGGACAUGAACAUGCCAUUUAUGAGGUAAAGGGCUUGCAGGUACUUGCAACAUUUCCAGGUUGCUACUUGCCUACAUCUGAGGAUGUUUAUGAAUAUAUCUUGGUGAUUUUCAUGUCAAUAGCCACUGAAAGGUUUGAAGAUGCAUUCUUGUGGAAAUUAUCGGUGAAGGCAUUGAUCGAAAUUGGUUCAUUUAUUGAAAAAUAUCAUGAUUCUUAUAGAGGAAUAAGCUUUAACAGAAUUGUUGUUGAAAGGAUUGUUUCUUUGUUUCAACAAGAUGAUUCUACCAUGCCUCUUGCACUAAAACUGGAUGCAAUUUCUGAAAUUGGUACUAUUGGGGUAGAUUACAUGUCAAGAGUAAUUAAAUUGCUUGAAGAAGCUAUUCUUUCCAAAUUUUUGGCUGUCUGCGUCGAAGGACGUCUUGAAGCUGCUGAGAUUUUAGUGCCUCUGCUUGAGUGCUACUCCAAUCGGGUGCUUCUGUGGUGCUACACUUCUGGUAAUUUUGAUGAAGUUGCAAUGCAGUUUGCUCUCUGUAUCUGGAACCAAAUGGAAAGCAUCACUAUUUUUGACAAAGAUGCAAAAAUUCAGGAUCUUUUUGAUAGAAUGAUGACGACAAUGAAGCUUCUAGUUGGGGGUUGUGCUGAGGAAAAUCAAUCCUUGAUCGUGCGGAAAGCCUAUAGUGUUCUUUUAUCUACGAGCUUUCUUUCAGAGGAGUCAUUGCCAUUUUCUUCAUCCAAGUUAGAAGGGUUACAAGUAACUCCAGAUUUAGUUAACCUAUCAUGGAGAGAUGAAUGGAUUGUAUCUCUCUUUGCAUCAGUAGUGAUAGCGCUUCUUCCACAAACACCUCUGCCAGAUGUAAAAUUGUUAUUGAAUGUGCUUACGACUUUCCUACUCAAAGGACAUCUGCCAGCAGCUCAAGCAUUGGCUUCUAUGGUUAACAAAUGGCAUGUAAAUAUUGAUAAAUCAGAAGUGCCAAAUGCUUAUACAUUGGAUGAAGCAAUUGAAAUGAUUCUUGAGAGGAGUUUAUUGAGUGUCCAAAGCAGUAGUAAUUUGGGAAAGUCUGAUCUCCUGAACAAGGAUGAGAGAAUGCUUAGUUGUUUAUGUCUCUUAAACAACAACAGUUCUUUUCAGAGUAAUGCAGUGGUUGGAUUGGCAUGGAUUGGAAAAGGUCUGCUUAUGAGAGGACAUGAAAAAGUAAAGGAAAUAGCAAUGCUUUUGUUACAAUAUUUGCUUUCAAAUCCAUAUAAGGAAUUACACUCUGAUGCAUCUGGAAGUGGUGAUAGCCUGGAUGUGCAUACUUCUCUAGCAACAUCUGCAGCAGAUGCAUUCCAUGUAAUUCUGAGUGAUUCAGAAGUUUGCUUGAAUAAAAAUUUCCAUGCAAUGAUAAGACCACUUUAUAAACAACGUUUCUUCUCAAGCAUGAUGCCUGUCCUGCUCUCAUCAAUCAAACAAUCUUGCUCGUCAAGUAUGAGAGUGGCAUUAUAUCGAGCUUUUGCGCAUGUUAUAUCGGAUGCUCCACUAGCUGCAGUAGUUGCUGAAGCCAAGAAGAUCCUACCUUCAUUGAUGGAUAGCUUAGCCAUGUUAAGUGAGGAUGUUCUGAAUAAAGAUCUAAUAUACAGCCUGCUGCUGGUCCUAUCUGGGAUCCUGAUGGAUGAUAAUGGAAAAGAAGCCAUCAUAGAGAACAUCAAUACUGUUAUAAGUGACCUCAUCAGACUGAUUUUCUAUCCCCAUAUGAUGCUUGUUCGGGAGACAGCAAUUCAAUGUCUUGUAGCCAUGUCAGCCCUUCCUCAUGCAAGGAUCUAUCCUAUGAGGCCUCAGGUCCUGCGUGCUGUAUCAAAAGCUCUUGAUGAUCGGAAAAGGGUUGUCCGUCAAGAGGCUGUGAGAUGUCGUCAAGCAUGGGUAUCGAUGGCAUGAAGAAUUCUGCAUUUUUGUGGAAAUUGGAACUCAAAGCUGUUCCAGGGUUGAGAAUGGCGUAAACCAGGUUUUUCUUUAUGAUACGAUCUUACAAUUCAAAAAGGGUAUAAUUCUGAUAUUCAACCAUUUGUUCACUGAAAAUUAGAACACAUCCCUGGAAAACAGGAGAAAAGUAAAUUGGUACGGGCCUGGGGAAAAAUGUUGAACGCAAACAAAGAAAAUGAAGACAGAGAGGAAUAAAGAGGAGAAAUAUGGCACAUGAUCUGAAGACCCAAUCUGCAUGGCCCAUCCACGACCCCUAUAAAGAUGUGCUGGUUGGUCAGGCCAAAAAACCUAGCAUGAUUCCCCUUGUAUAUGACUCUUCUUACUAUAGUUAUUUGCGCAUUCAUUGUUGGCCUCGAAAAUGCAUGUCACCGUCCGUGAAAUUGGGACUGAAAGUACUUCAAAAACAGAUCAAAUGGCAGUUCCGUACAUGACAAAAACUAGAAUAGAUCAAAUUGUCAACAACAACAAUAAUGUGCAAGUGUCAUGCAAUCUUCAUGAGCAUCGAGUUUAAAACAUCAGGACUAAUCUGUAUCAAUUAUUCAGAAUACAUGUCAUUGUUGUGGUAUUUGAUGUGUAUCUGGAACUCAUUUGUGCCAAUAUGAUGACUAUGCUUUUGAUUUGAGAAAAUAGAUCUUUUAGCACAAAAAUAAAA